rnacentral:tRNA from 1 species
GGGGCCGUUGUCUAGCUUGGUCAUGAUGCUAGCCUGGGGUGCUAGAGGUCGUGGGUUCAAAUCCCACCGGCCCCACCA